GGUUCAAUUAUAGCUCAGAUUGAACGCUGGCGGAUCGCCACAUGCAAGUCGAACGGCGGCACGGACUGAUCUGGUGGCGAGAGUGGCGAACGGGUGAGUAAUGUAUCGGAACGUGCCCAAGUAGCGGGGGAUGGCGGCCUUGGCUAAUGCCACGCGCCUCGCCCUUCGGGAAAGCGGGGGACCUUCCGGGCCUCGCACUAUUAAACGGCCGAUAUCGGAUUAGCUAGUUGGUGGGGUAACGGCUCACCAAGGCGACGAUCCGUAGCUGGUUUGAGAGGACGACCAGCCACACUGGGACUAGGGCAGCCCAGACUCCUGCAGGAGGCAGUGGGAAUUUUUGGACAAUGGGGAAACCCUGAUCUGGCCAUCCGCGUCAUGCGUGAAGAACCGGGUUUGUAAAGCACUUUUGGCAGAAAGAAACAGCCACGGGACAAUACCCCCGUGCAACUGACGAUACUACCCAGAAUAUAUAAACCGUACCAACAGCCGCGGUAAUACGUAGUGCAGCGUUAAUCAGAUGCUGGGCGUAAAGCGUGCGCAGGUAGCGGUUCGGAAAGAAGAUGUGAAAUCCCAGGCUUAACUUUGGAACUGCAUUUUUAACUACCGAGCUAGAGUGUGUCAGAGGGAGGUGGAGUCUAGUAGCGGUGAUAAAUAGAUAUGCGGAGGAACACCGAUGACGAGCAGCCUCCUGGGAUAACACUGACGCUCAUGCACGAAAGCGUGGGGAGCAAACAGGAUUAGAUACCACACUUUCGUACGCAGGCGUCAAUCAUUAUCCCAGGAGGUGCCUUCGCCAUCGUGUUCCUCCGCAUAUCGCCUACGCAUUUUCACUGCUACACGCGAGGUUCCGCCUCCCCACUCUGACACACUCUAACUCGGUAGUUAAAAAUACGGUUCAAUGGGAUUUUCACAUCUUCUUUUCGAACCGCCUGCGCGCGCGCUUUACGCCGGUAAUUCCGCUUGCGCUGCGUGUUGCCGCGGUGGCUGCUGUGCGUAUUAGCCGGUGCCGUCUGCGGGCGUACCGUCCGGUUGCGCGGUGUGUCCCGUGCCGUUUCUUUCGCCCGCCAAGGGUAACCCUGCCGAGGCCUUCAUCCGCGCGCGCCGGGUAACGGACCCCCCCCGUUGUCAAAUUCCCCGCCUCCCUUUUCCCGCCCACUCCCCGUAAAGUCUGGGCCGUAUGUCUCAGUCAGUGUGGCUGGUCGUCCUCACGGAUCGUCGCGCUGGUGAGCCGUUGCCCCGCCUGACUGGCUAAUCCGAUAUCCGGCCCGCUCUAAUGGUGCGGGCCCGAAGAGUCCCCGCUUCCCCGAGCGUAUGCGGGUAUUAGCUACGCUUUCGCGUAGUUAUCCCUGCUCUGCGGAGCACGUUCCGACAUUGCCGCCCGUUCGCCGCUCGCCACUGUGCCGUUCGACCCCGCGUGUGUGAAGCAAUCCGCUUUUUUCAGCGUUCAAUCUGAGCCA
rnacentral:misc_RNA from 1 species